GUCAUUUUUUAGCUCACCUGGCCCAAAGGGCCAAGUGAGUUUUUCCCAUCACUUUGCGUCCGGUGUCGUUGUCGUCCGUCGUCGUUAACUUUUACAAAAAUCUUCUCCUCUGAAACUGCUGGGCCAAAUUAAACCAAACUUGGCCACAAUCAUCAUUGGGGUUUCUAGUUUAAAAAAUGUGUGGCGUGACCCCGCCAAUUAACCAAGAUGGCCGCCAUGGCUAAAAAUUGAACAUAGGGGUAAAAUGCAGUUUUUGGCUUAUAACUCAAAAACCAAAGCAUUUAGAGCAAAUCUGACAUGGGGUAAAAUUGUCUAUCAGGUCAACAUCUAUCUGCCUUGAAAUUUUCAGAUGAAUCAGACAACCCGUUGUUGGGUUGCUGCCCCUGAAUAUGUAAUUUUAAGGAAAUUUUGAUGUUUUUGGUUAUUAUCUUGAAUAUUAUUAUAGAUAAAGAUAAACUGUAAACAGCAAUAAUGUUCAGCAAAGUAAGAUUUACAAAUAAGUCAACAUGACCAUAAUGGUCAGUUGACCCCUUUAGGAGUUAUUGCCCUUUAUAGUCAAUUUUUAACCAUUUUUCGUAAAUCUUAGUAAUCUAUUACAAAAAUCUUCUCCUCUGAAACUUCAUGGCCAAAUUAAUCCAAACUUGGCCACAAUCAUUUUGGGGUAUCUAGUUUAACAAAUGUGUGGUGUGACCCGGCCAACCCAAACCAAGAUGGCUGCCAUGGCUAAAAAUAGAACAUAGGGGUGAAAUGUAGAUUUUGGCUUAUAACUCUGAAACCAAAGCAUUUAGAGCAAAUCUGACAUGGGGUAAAAUUGUUCAUCAAGUGAAAAUCUAUCAGCCCUGAAACUUUCAAAUGAAUAGGACAACUGGUUAUUGGAUUGCUGCCCCGAAAAAAGUAAUUUGAAGGAAAUUUUGCAGAUUUUGGUUAUUAUCUUGAAGAUUAUUAUAGAAAGAGAUAAACUGUAAACAGCAAUAAUGUUCAGCAAAGUAAGAUCUACAAAUAAGUCAACAUGAAAAUUAUCAGUUGACCCCUUAAGGAGUGAUUGCCCUUUAUAGUCAUUUUGACGCAAUUUUUUCGUAAAUUUUUGUAAUCUUUUACAAAAUCUUCUCCUCUGAAACUCCUGGGCCAAAUUUAACCAACUUGGCCAAUCAUUAUUGGGAUUUAGUUUAAAAAUUGUGUGGCGUGACCUGUCCAACCAACCAAGAUGGCUGCCAUGGCUAAAAAUAGAACAUAGAGGGGAAAUGUAGAUUUUGGCUUAUAUCUCUGAAACUAAAGCAUUUAGAGCAAAUCUGAAUAGAUAAAAUUGUUUAUCAGGUCAAGAUCUAUCUGCCCUGAAAUUUUCAGACAAAUCAGACAACCUGUUGUUGGGUUGCUGCCCCAAAUUAGUAUUUUAAGGAAAUUUUGCAGAUUUUGGUUAUUAUCUUGAAUAUUAUUAUAGAUAGAGAUAAACUGUAAACAGCAAUAAUGUUCAGCAAAGUAAGAUUUACAAAUAAGUCAACAUGACCGAAAUGGUCAAUUGACCCCCUAAGGAGUUAUUGUCCUUUAUAGUCAAUUUUCAACAAUUUUUAUAAAAUUUGUAAAUUUUUACUAACAUUUUCCACUGAAACUACUGGGCCAAGUUCAUUAUAGGUAGAGAUAAUUGUAAGCAGCAAGGAUGUUCAGUAAAGUAAGAUGUACAAACACAUCACCAUCACCCAAAAUACAAUUUUGUCAUGAAUCCAUCUGCUUUCUUUGUUUAAUAGUCACAUAGACCAAGGUGA
rnacentral:lncRNA from 1 species